rnacentral:lncRNA from 1 species
AGUAGGGCUGCUUGGUGCUGGUCUGCACCUGCCUCUGGAGCAGGACAUGGAGCAGAGGGAGAUGUGGGGAUUAGUUACAGUGCUUUCAGCUGCAAGGAACAGAAGGCCCACCUCAAAGGGGCUUAAACAAGAAGGGAGAUGUGCCUCCUGUGCAAAGAAGCCCCAAGGUAGGACAGCCCAGGACUGCUUAGCUCAGUACUGCAGGGGUAUCAACAGAGACCCAAGAUUCUCUCCCCUUUCAUGCUGCUCACUUCAGUGAGCCAGUUCUCAGGCCAGCUUCCCUCAUGAUCACAAGAUGGCUGCCAUGGUUCUAGCCAUCACAUCCAGCAGGGGAUAGUAUCCAGCAGAGGAGAUCAAAACUCUUCCUGGAUAUAUCUAUUUAAGAGUGAGGGAACUUACCCCAGAGUCACCCUAGUUGCUUUUCUGUCAUGGCUCACUGGACAGAAUUAUAUCACACACCCAUUCUUGGCCCAUUUCUAGCAGAGGACACAGGAAAACCACAACUGGCUUACAUGGACUCCCCAGUAGCACAGGAUUUUAAUACUCCAGCAGCACCUACUGCACCAGGACAAAGACAUUCUUCCCACUCAGAGAUAGUGGAGAAGGGAUUGGAAUCCCAGUCUUGUUUUCUCCACCAGUUACUGUCUGACCCUAGAUAAGUCAGGUCCCCUAUCAGUCCCUUACCCGCAGGCAUUCUCUCCUCACAUCUUGCCAAUACAACUCAGAUUUGGCUUGGUGGCAAUAUGCCCAGCCAGGGAAUGGAUCAUGAUUGUGGAAACAGUUGUGGCAACACCUCUGCCCUUUGUUAACUACUUGCCUGGACAGCCUCCACUGCAACUAGGGGUAACCAUGGGACCUACUCCCAGGCAAGGAGAAAGAAGGAGGACUUUUCUAGAAUCCUUCUGGGAAAGAUUUUUCUCCCCUUUUCUCCCCUCUUUUCUUUCAACUUUCACAUGUUAUUAAAUGAGGAUGUGAUGUUUGGAGUUUUGGCAGCCAUAUUGCAACAAUGAGGGAAAUACCAAGAAAAUCUCAGACCUGCCAACCUCAUGCUUUGGCAUUAUGGGGCUCUGGGACAGUCUUAGGACCACAAAGAUUUGUUAUGGAAGUGAAAUAGACUCCUGUUUAAUUAAGCCCCCAUUAUUUCAGUUUUCUUUACUUGCAGCCAAGCAUACCCUAACUGAAACAGAGCCCAGUUUCUUCAUCAGUAACAUGAAAAGAAUGAUUCUGAUGAGGGUGGCCGUUAUCCUCUGGGCUGUCAUGCUCUGUGAUGACAAAUCCUCCUAGAAUUCACCCACCAGUUCCUUGAGGAAAACCAGGUUCCUGCUAACUUUCCAUAUGCCCUUGAAAACUUGAGAGGACAACAUGGUGAGAUUGGAAGAGUCCCUGAGCCUUUUCCUAUCCUACCAGGAAACUCCAUCCUUUGUGACCAAAAUUCCCAAAGGACACAGGUGAGGAUCAGUUAAAAUUGCAUAUAACAAAAACACAGAAACCUGAGAACAGUGUCUUAAGCAUAUAGAGUUUGGGAGGUUUUUCCUGAAGUAAUAAGAAGUCCAGAGUUCAAGAGGCCACAGUUGGUCAAGCUGCUAGGGCUGGAAUGAGGUUACCAGGGACCAGGGUCCUUUCAGCUUCAUCAGCCUCAGCAGGAGCCACGUCCUCAGGGGCACAAGGCAGCUGAUUCCCCAGAGAGGAAUAAGAGAAAGGUGAAGGGCAAAGCUGAAAAGGUCUUCGAUCUGCCAGGAAAGCAGCAGCCAUCCAGGAAAGUCCCACUCAAGGGCCAUCUGUCAUACUGGGUUCUAUAGCCAUCCUCGGCUUUGAGGGAGAGGAAGGGGAGAGUGGCUGUUGGGGAGACAAUUAGCCACAUGCACCACCAGGUUUGAGGUCAGAAGACUUGGGACUCAGCCCAGCACUGUUUUCUGCCACCCUCUGUGAUCGGUGCUCAGUUAAUGGUCUUGAGUCUCAGCGCAUCUACCAGCACAAAGAAAGAGGCCCUAUGUCAAGUAUCAAAGCCACAGGUGGCCAGUGACUACCGCAUUGGAUGGCACUGGCCUAGUGGCUGUACGUCUGGUUGGUAGAGUGGCAGCUGCUGGCAUUAUCCAGAACAAGGAUUCAUUUGUAAGAGAAACAAGUGAAACUGCCAAGCCCUGCUGAGCUGUGGCUGUAAGACAGCUGAGAGUCAAGUUCUCUCCCAAUCAGGGAUCCUCCCUGGACAAAAGGCUAUCUUGACUGCGUUUAUGCAUCUUAGAGUCCAGAGCUGGGGGCUCUGUCCUGGUGGGCAGGAAGGCUCUAGAGAAGAGGGGUUGUGGCCGCUUUAGGGGGGGAUAGCAGCUUCUUGGGUUGAGGGGGGAAGCGUCCCAAAAGAACAUGUGAAGACUACGAAGGAAAUUUUAAAAGCCUGUGCCCAGAGAACAUUCUGCCUCUAAAGAAUCAGGUGAGCUCAGACCAGGGAGCCAACUAUGGACAGAGCGGGAAGAAGGCUCCAUAUUUGGAAAAUGAAUAGAAAUGGUUGCUCAGGCUUUGGACACAGAGCAUCAGAAACUCCAGGAGGAAUGAAAUCAGCUAAAAAAAAAAAAAUUUGGUUUGAUCUUAUAGACCAAACAUAAGCAGUGGGGAACAAGCCAAAAACAGACUGCAGAACAGUCAGCUGCUUCCAUGGCUGCUCCUCCUUUUGGGAGGGGGCGCACCCACAGCAUAUGCAAGUCCCCAGGCUAGGGGUCAAACUGGGGCUACAGCCUACACCACAGUCAUAGCAACACAGGAUCCAAGUCACAUCUGCCACCUACUUCACAGCUUACGACGGCACUGGAUCCUUAACCCACUGAGUAGGGCCAGGGAUCAAACCCACAUCCUCAUGGAUACUGGUCUACUUCAUUGCCGCCGAGCCCAAUAGGAACUCUAACUCUGUACCUCUUCUAUGGGGAAAGUGGGACCAGCUCAGGAACCACUGAAGGUGAGGACAGAGAGGUGGUAGGGUAAGGGGUGGCCAGGAGAGGAAGCAAGCCUGGGGUUGCUAUAGGAGAGGGGGGGCAGAGGGAAAGCCUGUGUUGCUGAUAGGUCACAAGGGACAUGUAUGGCUUGAGGCCUUCAAAGACUAAGGGAAGCCUGUCUGGUCCCAGCAGCUCAGGGAGAAGCACUUACAGGUCCAGCCUGCUCUCCCCAGGCGUGGCUGAGGGACAGCAUCCCUCAGCCUCUCCCCCAACACUGCAGACCAAAGAGUGCUAGAGAAGGCAGAGAGGGAGGGAGCUGGCCUGGUACCCCCCUCAACCCCCCCAGGAGGGUCAGCCCAGGCCUCCAGCAUUCCAUGGACCUUACCCAUCCCCAGGUGGGCUCAGCCUUUAAACUCCUUGUUCAGCACUGUAAAAAUUCCAACCAUUAGUAUUGGCCAAGCAAAUGCCUCUGGCUUUGACCUUUGCACAUGGCAACAUUCCUCUCCUUUCGAGGAGGCAUGGGAUCCAGGAGCCAAGACCCCCAGACAGCUUAUCUAUCAUCUUACUUACCACCAAUUAUCAUUAAAGAUGAGUAUCAUUCUUACUUUAUGGAUGAGGAAACAGAGGCUCAGGGAAGUGUCACUCUGUGUAAUAGCCAGGAUAGGCUUUGUGCUGCUGCUGUGACAAACAGCUCUGAAAUCUCUUACCUUAACACACAAUACUCCUCCUUCCCGCUGCAGGUCUCCUGGAGUCUGGCAGGGGAAUCUGUUCCAUGCAGGCCAGGGAUUCAGGCUGAUUAAGUCUCCACUCCCUGGAGCAGUGUCCUUCUCAAACUCCCCAGCAAGGGAAGACACAGCCAGAAGGUCCACACACUGGCUCUUCUAUGCUUUGGUUGACCUUGCCUGAUUCAAAAGGAGCUGAGGAGCCUGGGAGAGCAGCUGAGAUGCCUGAUGAGCCACACCCAGUCAAGAUGUGGGAGCAAGAUGAACUCAGGAGUGUCACAUGGCAGUCUUGACUCUCACCCCCGAAGGAGGCAGCUCCACAUGAGCUGAUGUGAGCUGUAUGGUGAUGUGCAAAGUCAAGGUGUGUCAACACAAUGAGCCUCAGAGAGUCUCACCAACUCCCUCCUUAGCCCGUUCCCAGGCAGAAGCAGCUCUGCAAACCACAGCCCUUUCGGGCCAGGGGAUAGUCGCAUGACACUACCCCUGCCCUUCUGGGCCUGCUCUCCCACCUUCCAGCCCGCACACUACAUCCCUGCAGCAUCCCAUGGCCCUCUGCUUCCUGAGCCUAAAGAUGGCUGUGGAAUCUGGAACCCCAGCCCCCGCCCCCCACGCCCAGGCACCUGCCCCGCUCCUUUCUGGCAGCAGCCCUGCUAACAGCCUUGCUAAUCCGUUAAUUAUCUACUGCUGGCAGAGAUGCCUGUUAAUUGAAAACUCAGCCCCCUCCUUUAAUUGCUUGCCUGCCUUCUGGCUGUCUCUGUUUCUGUCUGCGUUUACUCAGGGGUUCUCUCCAGGCCCCCUGGGCCGUGGGUUCUCAGGCUUCGGGCUCCUGAUUUCUUCCUGGUCCAUACUGGUGUUUGUUACCAGUGUCUGCAGAGCUGGUGGCUGGGGCUGCUCAGGCCCCAGUGUGAGAGGCAGAAGUUACAUGUGCAGCCAGCAGGAGCUGCCUCACUCUUGCCGGAUCUACCGUGGGAGGCUGGGAGGCAGUUAAAGCAAUUUGCCCCAGGAAUUAAUGGAGAGGCACCAGGCUAGUGGGAGGACUCCAGCGGGGGAGUGGGUUUCAACUUAAACAAAAGGCCAAACUCCUCCUGUGCAGAGCUGGUCAGAGGAGCUGCUGCUUGGAGGACUGUGGGGAGACUGGAAAGGGGCUGAGCCAGGUGCCAGGAAAGUUCUGCCCUGACUCUCACCCCUUUUCCUCUCCCCACCCCCAGGGUUUUCUGAUCUGCUUCCUUUGAGUCUGUCCCCUGACCUCAUUCACCACUUCUCUUCCUGGGAUAUCACCAGGUGGGCCAGGUACCAAGAGAACUUGGAAGUAUCAAGAGGCUGAUGAAUGCUGGAGUUCCCGUUGUGGCUCAGUGGUUAACAAAUCUGACUAGUGAACCAUGAGGUUGUGGGUUAAAUCCCUGACCUUGCUCAGUAGGUUAAGGAUCUGACAUUGCUGUGAGCUGUGGUGUAGGUCACAGAUGCAGCUUGGGUCUGACAUGGUUGUGGUGUAAGCCGGAGGCUACAGCUCAGAUUAGACCCCUAGCCUGGGAACCUCCAUAUGCUGCAGGUGCAGCCCUAG